UACAGAGGUCUCAAGCGUUGUUCGGAUUCAUUGGGCGUAAAGGGUGUGUAGGUGGCGCGCUAAGUCGGGUGUGAAAUUUCGGAGCUUAACUCCGAAACUGCAUUCGAUACUGGCGUGCUUGAGGACUGGAGAGGAGACUGGAAUUUACGGUGUAGCAGUGAAAUGCGUAGAUAUCGUAAGGAAGACCAGUGGCGAAGGCGGGUCUCUGGACAGUUCCUGACACUGAGGCGCGAAAGCCAGGGGAGCGAACGGG
rnacentral:rRNA from 1 species